CCUUGAACCGCAUGGUUCAAGGAUGAAAGACGGUUUCGGCUGUCACUUACAGAUGGACCCGCGGCGCAUUAGCUAGUUGGUGAGGUAACGGCUCACCAAGGCGACGAUGCGUAGCCGACCUGAGAGGGUGAUCGGCCACACUGGGACUGAGACACGGCCCAGACUCCUACGGGAGGCAGCAGUAGGGAAUCUUCCGCAAUGGACGAAAGUCUGACGGAGCAACGCCGCGUGAGUGAUGAAGGUUUUCGGAUCGUAAAGCUCUGUUGUUAGGGAAGAACAAGUGCAAGAGUAACUGCUUGCACCUUGACGGUACCUAACCAGAAAGCCACGGCUAACUACGUGCCAGCAGCCGCGGUAAUACGUAGGUGGCAAGCGUUGUCCGGAAUUAUUGGGCGUAAAGGGCUCGCAGGCGGUUUCUUAAGUCUGAUGUGAAAGCCCCCGGCUCAACCGGGGAGGGUCAUUGGAAACUGGGAAACUUGAGUGCAGAAGAGGAGAGUGGAAUUCCACGUGUAGCGGUGAAAUGCGUAGAGAUGUGGAGGAACACCAGUGGCGAAGGCGACUCUCUGGUCUGUAACUGACGCUGAGGAGCGAAAGCGUGGGGAGCGAACAGGAUUAGAUACCCUGGUAGUCCACGCCGUAAACGAUGAGUGCUAAGUGUUAGGGGGUUUCCGCCCCUUAGUGCUGCAGCUAACGCAUUAAGCACUCCGCCUGGGGAGUACGGUCGCAAGACUGAAACUCAAAGGAAUUGACGGGGGCCCGCACAAGCGGUGGAGCAUGUGGUUUAAUUCGAAGCAACGCGAAGAACCUUACCAGGUCUUGACAUCCUCUGACAACCCUAGAGAUAGGGCUUUCCCUUCGGGGACAGAGUGACAGGUGGUGCAUGGUUGUCGUCAGCUCGUGUCGUGAGAUGUUGGGUUAAGUCCCGCAACGAGCGCAACCCUUGAUCUUAGUUGCCAGCAUUCAGUUGGGCACUCUAAGGUGACUGCCGGUGACAAACCGGAGGAAGGUGGGGAUGACGUCAAAUCAUCAUGCCCCUUAUGACCUGGGCUACACACGUGCUACAAUGGACAGAACAAAGGGCUGCGAGACCGCAAGGUUUAGCCAAUCCCACAAAUCUGUUCUCAGUUCGGAUCGCAGUCUGCAACUCGACUGCGUGAAGCUGGAAUCGCUAGUAAUCGCGGAUCAGCAUGCCGCGGUGAAUACG
rnacentral:rRNA from 1 species